UGGUUGCCGGAGUAAAGGUCCCUGGUCGAGCAUUGCUCUCUGGGCGCCGGCUUAUUUGGAAAUUUAAGUGACCAGACUGGAGGUAAGGUCCCUGGUCGAGCUAAGCUCUCUGGGCGCCAGUCUUAUUGGAUAAGAGAGCCGAAAGGCUAAGGCUGAGAGUUAAGUGACCGGACUGGAGGUAAGGUCCCUGGUUGAGCUUUGCUCUCUGGGCGCCAGUCCUGUUGGAAUGAGAGGUUUGAGAUGAUAGAGUUGAGGUUAGUUGAGACAUAAGUGUUGAAAUAAUCGAGAUUUUAGAGUUGGGAUUAGAGUUUUACUGAAGUACUCCGUCCCGUUGCAUGUGGAAUAAAUUUUGUUUAAGC
rnacentral:lncRNA from 1 species